CGUAGCUACGAGUACAUCUCUACCCAAAUAUCUGCACAAACCAGCCCGAGUGUGUUGCCGUGGGAACAAUACCGUAAUAUCAUUUAAAUCCUCUCUGUCCUACAAAUCUUUGUGAAGCUUUCGAAAUGAUUGAAUUUUUACGCAGCCUAAAGGAUUUUCGUUCAAAUUUCGUAUUUCUAUUUAUCUGUUGUGGUCAAUGAAAUGGCGACAAAUGUUUCCAUGUUACGUACGUCACCUGCUCACUUUAAACGAAAAUGUUUAUAUGUUAUGGGUAUUUGAUUUUAUUGGGGAGUUUAAAUGUAAACAGCGACAUGGAUAUAACAUUGACUACAGCUACAAUACGUGACUAUACAUCACCAAAACCAUCGACAAUAGUCCGGAGACUCAAUGUGGAGUGGAAAGAGAUGGAAAGUAAAGAGAAAAAUAAAAUGGAUGUCUUACGAAAUCUGUUUCUACUGCAGAAUGUGGAAUUACGAAGGAGUCGUAAUGAUGUGUGGAACUGGGAUUAUUGGUGUCAACUGCAACCCAAAAAAGGCAAUUGCCCCGGAGACAUGCAGAAGUUUGUAUUAAUUUACAUUUUCUGUAAUAAGGAGAAAAUUUGAAGUAGCUAUUUAUCCAGUUUCAGCGUUGCUGUAGAGAGUAUUUAAUAAGCCUGGGACGAAUCCAGAGUGGC